GCAAGUCGAGCGGCAGCGGGUCCUUCGGGAUGCCGGCGAGCGGCGGACGGGUGAGUAAUGCCUAGGAAUCUGCCUGGUAGUGGGGGAUAACGUUCGGAAACGGGCGCUAAUACCGCAUACGUCCUACGGGAGAAAGUGGGGGAUCUUCGGACCUCACGCUAUCAGAUGAGCCUAGGUCGGAUUAGCUAGUUGGUGGGGUAAUGGCUCACCAAGGCGACGAUCCGUAACUGGUCUGAGAGGAUGAUCAGUCACACUGGAACUGAGACACGGUCCAGACUCCUACGGGAGGCAGCAGUGGGGAAUAUUGGACAAUGGGCGAAAGCCUGAUCCAGCCAUGCCGCGUGUGUGAAGAAGGUCUUCGGAUUGUAAAGCACUUUAAGUUGGGAGGAAGGGCAGUAAGUUAAUACCUUGCUGUUUUGACGUUACCAACAGAAUAAGCACCGGCUAACUUCGUGCCAGCAGCCGCGGUAAUACGAAGGGUGCAAGCGUUAAUCGGAAUUACUGGGCGUAAAGCGCGCGUAGGUGGUUCAGCAAGUUGGAGGUGAAAUCCCCGGGCUCAACCUGGGAACUGCCUCCAAAACUACUGAGCUAGAGUACGGUAGAGGGUAGUGGAAUUUCCUGUGUAGCGGUGAAAUGCGUAGAUAUAGGAAGGAACACCAGUGGCGAACGCGACUACCUGGACUGAUACUGACACUGAGGUGCGAAAGCGUGGGGAGCAAACAGGAUUAGAUACCCUGGUAGUCCACGCCGUAAACGAUGUCGACUAGCCGUUGGGAUCCUUGAGAUCUUAGUGGCGCAGCUAACGCGAUAAGUCGACCGCCUGGGAGUACGGCCGCAAGGUUAAAACUCAAAUGA
rnacentral:rRNA from 1 species